rnacentral:ncRNA from 2 species
GAUUUAUCAAGAAAGGUGGAGGGAUUUGGCCCUGUGAAACCUUAGCAACCGACACAAUUCCAGCGUGUAAAGGUGCUAAUUCCAACCCGAUUGAGGGUAGAUAAGUG